rnacentral:rRNA from 1 species
GUGCUUAACACAUGCAAGUCGAACGAUGAAGCCUAGCUUGCUAGGUGGAUUAGUGGCGCACGGGUGAGUAAUAUAUAGAUAACGUGCCUCUUAGUCUGGGAUAGCCAUUGGAAACGAUGAUUAAUACUGGAUACUCCUUCUCUUUAUAAUAAGAGUUGGGAAAGUUUUUCGCUAAGAGAUCGGUCUAUAUCCCAUCAGCUUGUUGGUAGUGUAAGAGACUACCAAGGCAAUGACGGGUAGCGGGUUUGAGAGGAUGAUCCGCCACACUGGUACUGAGACACGGACCAGACUCCUACGGGAGGCAGCAGUGAGGAAUAUUGCACAAUGGAGGAAACUCUGAUGCAGCAACGCCGCGUGGAGGAUGACGCAUUUCGGUGUGUAAACUCCUUUUAUAGGUCAAGAAAAUGACGGUAGCCUAUGAAUAAGCACCGGCUAACUCCGUGCCAGCAGCCGCGGUAAUACGGAGGGUGCAAGCGUUAUUCGGAAUCACUGGGCGUAAAGGACACGUAGGCGGGAAGCCAAGUCUGAUGUGAAAUCCUACAGCUUAACUGUAGAACUGCAUUGGAAACUGGUUACCUAGAGUAUGGGAGGGGGAGAUGGAAUUAGUGGUGUAGGGGUAAAAUCCGUAGAUAUCACUAGGAAUACCUAAAGCGAAGGCGAUCUCCUGGAACAUUACUGACGCUAAGGUGUGAAAGCGUGGGGAGCAAACGGGAUUAGAUACCCCGGUAGUCCACGCCCUAAACGAUGUUCACUAGUCGUCGGGAUGCUAGUCAUCUCGGUGAUGCACUUAACAGAUUAAGUGAACCGCCU